GCUUUGGUUUGGUUUGAAAUGGUUUUCCAAAUCUGGUUUUAAAACAAAGAAAGAAAAAGGUUUGAAAAAACCCUAAUCUAACCUAACCUACCGGAGCAGCCCAGCAGCCCAUCUAGUUCCACCCCGGAGGCCUGCCUCUCCCUUUUUUUUUCCGCGACCACCUCCCCUCUUUUUCCUUGGCCCAGCCCGGCCUGCUUACCCUUUCGAUGAGAAAAGUAUCUCCCUCCGUUGUCGUCUACCUCCUCACGAAGAUGGCGUGGAGAGCCUGUGGUCCUCUCCCUCUCAACCACCACCGCUCCUGCGUUGCCCUCCCCUUUUUAAUCCAUGUGCCAAACCCUAGCCCCUCUCCCCUCCUGCCGCCGCCACUUCCUCUGUCUCCCCCUCCACCUUCUUCUUCUUCUUCACGCAAGGAUACAGAGAAGAAACGAACAAACAAACCAUGGCCGGCCUUACAGUGACCUCGACCAUGCCGUCGCCACAGGUGCUCCCUCGCCGAGCUGAGACGACCAGAGGAACCGCACCAUCGUCCUCUCCAUCUUCCCCAAAGGAAUCGAGCCGGGGCAUCUCCAAUCACCCCCAAAUUCGCCAAUUCCAUCUCCGAUGUCGGCGAGAAACUCGACGAAUCCGGCCGUCUCCGACCUCCCCCGCCAUCUCUGACCUUCUCCUCACGAUCCUGGUACCCGUCGCCGGCGGCGCUCCGGUGGGUCCCUGGCACCAUGACCGCCACCAGAAAGUUCCCCAUGUUCUUCCGCUUCAAACGCGCUAUCUCUCGCAUCCUGGCCCGCCCCGAAUCGCCGGAUCGAUGCUCUACAGUAUUGUUUUCCGUCCGCCAUGGUCAUAUCCUGGAAGUCCGGCCUGUGCUACCUCAUAUUGUUGUACGCCUGAUCUGGCGUCUACUGGACCUUGGCCCAUUUCUCUCCCGGUGUAGCCAUCGCCCACGCGCAGCAGCCCGCUAAUCAUCGCCUCACGCGGGCCAGAGCUGCAUUUGCUUCUUCUCGGAUAGGAUCACGAAGUGAUGAUGUGAGAUACGACGAGUUCUCCGACAAGUUCUCCUGCAGCUUUUCACAGGCGAGCCCACCCCUUCACCUAUUUUACUUUUACAUGCUCUUUUGAUCUAUUGCUAUCCUUAUGUUGCGAUUCUGUUGUGUCACGUGUCCUAUCCACUGUUACCUAUAUGUCCGAGAUACACCUCCUCGCCCUACCUAUUGUUUGUUGUUUGCCGACUUUGCGAGUCGUAGGCGAGUUUAGGGUCUUGUUGAUAUCUCGAGAUGUUCGGGAUAUCUUGUUGGGAGGUUAUCACAUGCUAUAUCUUUUGUUGGAGAUAA